UGGGGAAUAUUGCACAAUGGGCGCAAGCCUGAUGCAGCCAUGCCGCGUGUGUGAAGAAGGCCUUCGGGUUGUAAAGCACUUUCAGCGAGGAGGAAGGGUUCAGUGUUAAUAGCACUGUUCAUUGACGUUACUCGCAGAAGAAGCACCGGCUAACUCCGUGCCAGCAGCCGCGGUAAUACGGAGGGUGCAAGCGUUAAUCGGAAUUACUGGGCGUAAAGCGCACGCAGGCGGUUUGUUAAGUCAGAUGUGAAAUCCCCGCGCUUAACGUGGGAACUGCAUUGAAACUGGCAAGCUAGAGUCUUGUAGAGGGGGGUAGAAUUCCAGGUGUAGCGGUGAAAUGCGUAGAGAUCUGGAGGAAUACCGGUGGCGAAGGCGGCCCCCUGGACAAAGACUGACGCUCAGGUGCGAAAG
rnacentral:rRNA from 1 species